UGGGGCCCCAGCUCACUCAGCCUGUGGAGAAAGCCUGGUUUCGAAGUUUCUUUAUCUGAAAACUUCCCCUCCAGUUGUUUGUGGAGAACUGGAUUUGUUUUUUUAAAGAUGCUAUACAUAAUUACCCCCAAAUCAAGUCCUGCUAGAAGAGUAGGUUUCCAUUCACUCAUACGACAGGAGUUUUGGGGUUUUUUUGAGGGCCUAUGAAACUACAGGCAUCAUGGCCAUCCUAGGGGGGCUUUUCUGCCCUUUUGAGAGGAGGUGGGUAAGGCGCGCGUCUGGCUUCUUAAAGUAUACAACGUCUAAGGUGAAACGUGAAGAAUGGGCUCUGAAUCAAACACUUAACACCCCCAGGCAGGACUGGGCUUGCAGUCCUGGGGGGAGGGGGCCUGGCCUUCAAGACCCCAUUAGCCUGGGCAUUGGUUUCCCAGCAGCGUCUGGUGGGCCCAGCCCGUAGCAGGGCAAGGCAGGAGGAGAGGUGGGGUGCUCCCAGUGCUUGGCGGGGGCUGAAGCAGGUGGAGUUCGGGCACCUCUACUGAGCUCCCCACCUGCUGCCACUUCGGGGGGCGUCUCUCACUUUGCUUCUGAGGCUGCUCCGAUGUAAGGUAUUCCCCGUCUUGCUGUCGUCGGCAGAAAUUAUUUUUGAAAUGGGGCCGCGGUGCAAAACUCCUUAGUUGCUUAUUCAUUCACAUGUUCACUGAUUAAUGUAAAAAUAUGUAUUGAGCAUCCAACACAUGCCUGGCGCCAGGCGAGGCGGACGCGGGCAGAGAACGAGGCAGCAGGGGCCCCUGCUCUUGCCAUCUGAACGCGAGUCAAAUGGAAGUCUUUAAGCCGGAGGCCACAACCUUUCAUUCAGGAAUCUGGAAACAUCUGCUCAAAACCUGUCCCUGCGUGCCCUGGAGAGACUUUCCUCUCAGACCCACAGGAGAGUAGAAGCCAAAAGCACGGUGACAUCUACCAUGGCUUGAGCACUAACUACUUUAAUACUCUUAUUGAUAUUCCUCUAUUGAAAACGAGGAGACUGCGGCACAGGGAGUUGUGCUCAACAUCUCAGGGCUAAUAAGUUGCAAAGCUAGGGUUUAAAGCAAGCAUUCUGGGGCCCUGGGUGGCUCAGUGGGUUAAGCAUUACUGCUGAGGUCGUGCUCGGCGGGGAGUCUGAUUCUCCCUCUGCCCCUCCCCCUUGCUCAUGCUUUUUCUCUCUCAAAAAAACACAACAAAACAAAAAAGUCAGGCAUUCUGACUGCAGGAGUUGCCUAUUGGAGAGCUGCAUCUGGGGUGGGAGGGUUCUCUGCCCACUAGACACCAGGCAUUGUGCUAGGGCUCUGAUACAGCCCUAGCUCUGAGUCCUCCUAACCCUGCCAAAGGGUCACGUUCACUCCCAGUUUAGACAUGCUGUGGUUCAGAGAAGUGGAGCAGCCAGCCCAGGCAUACACAGCCAGGGGGGUCUGCGGUGGGAUCUGAGCGCGCAUCUGUCCCACUCCAGUGUGGUGGAGGGAGCUGGGGGGACAAGAGGAAGGAAGGGUCACCCGUGGGGAGGAAGGAGCCAGUGGGGGCAGAAGGGUCAGGGGUCAGAGGGAGAACAAGGAGUUCUCCGAGUGGGGCGAAGCAGAGCAGAGUGGACACUGUGGGAGGUGUGAAGGAAGGUGAAAGCCCGUGAAAGAGCACUCAUCUGUGGGGAUUGUGCUCAGAAGGAGGAUUGCAAAGCACCAACUGAGGAGUGAGCGGCCUAUGAGUGGGUGGAGGUCGCCCUGUCGGGCAGUGGUUCUUUCCUGACAUAAGAGAGGGUAGGAGGCCCCUAGAAUGGGGAGACUGGGGUCAGCGGGGUGUGUGUGUGUGUGUGUGUGUGUGUGUGUGUGUGUGUGGAGGGGGUGGGGGAACCAUGUGCAGGCCUAUGCUGAGACUGCAGGGAUUGUACCCAGAGCAUGAAAGAAAGGGCUGUUCUCAAGGAGGAGGGGCCCUGUAAGAUCAGAAGAAAGAAGGAAAAGUAGGUGCAUCUGCAGAAAAAUUCUGAGGCAGUCAUAGGCGAUCGGGUGACUUGUACAAUGGGAAUGUCCCACGUUGUCCCUCAAACCUCCUCCAUCAUGAUGGAUCCAUGUUUUCUGGGGCCACCAUAACAAAUUACCAUAAGCAGCAGGACUUAAAACCAGGAGGCAGAAAUCUAGUGGCGCUCAUGGUUCUGGAGGCCAGAAGUCUGGAAUCCAUCAUUCCAGGCUUCUGUCCUGGCUUCUGGUGGUUGCCGGCAGUCCUUGGUGUUACUUGGCUGGUAGACCCAUCACUCUACCCUCUGUUUCCAUCUUCUUAGAGACGAAAUACAUAGUAUUCUCUGCUUUCUGCUUUGUGGAAAUUUGUGUCCAAAUUUCCCUCUUCUAAGAACCCCAGUCAUCUGUUAGGGCUCACCCUAAUCCUGGAUGACCUUAUUUUAACUUGAUUAUAUCUGCAAAGACCUUAUUUCCAAAUAAGGUCACAUUCCCAGGUACUGGGAGUUAGGGCCUGAACAUAUCUUUUGGGGGUGGGGGGGUACAGUUCAACCCAGAACAGGGCACAAGGGAAAUAGUGUGUGAGAAGGUGCCCUGAAGGGUAUAAAAAUGCUACAGAAAUAUAAGGUCACUGGUUCAAGGAAUGCUAAAGUUAAAUAUGUUUAGAAAGGAAACUAUUUCCUCCAGAAUUGAUGUUUUUGCAUAAAAUGCCACAGUUUCCAAUAAAGGGUCUGCUGAAAGUCA
rnacentral:lncRNA from 12 species